rnacentral:rRNA from 1 species
UACGAAGGGGGCUAGCGUUGUUCGGAUUUACUGGGCGUAAAGCGCACGUAGGCGGGUCGUUAAGUCGGGGGUGAAAUCCUGGAGCUCAACUCCAGAACUGCCUUCGAUACUGGCGACCUAGAGUCCGGAAGAGGUGAGUGGAACUCCUAGUGUAGAGGUGGAAUUCGUAGAUAUUAGGAGGAACACCAAUGGCGAAGGCAGCUCGCUGGGACGGUACUGACGCUGAGACGCGAAAGCGUGGGGAGCAAACAGG